rnacentral:misc_RNA from 1 species
GAUGAAGAACGCAGCGAAAUGCGAUAAGUAAUGUGAAUUGCAGAAUUCAGUGAAUCAUCGAAUCUUUGAACGCACAUUGCGCCCCCCAGUAUUCUGGCGGGCAAGCCUGUUCGAGCGUCAUUUCAACCAUCAAGCCCUGCUUGUGUUGGGGUCCUGCGGCUGCCCGCAGGCCCUGAAAACCAGUGGCGGGCUCGCUAGUCACACCGAGCGCAGUAGCACAUCUCGCUCAGGGCGUGCGGCGGGCUCCAGCCGUUAAAGCACCCACCUUUCGCAAGGUUGACCUCGGAUCAGGUAGGAAUACCCGCUGAACUUAAGCAUAUCAAUAAGCGGAGGA